rnacentral:rRNA from 1 species
UACAGAGGGUGCAAGCGUUGUUCGGAAUUAUUGGGCGUAAAGGGCGCGUAGGCGGUGCCACAAGUCACCUGUGAAAUCUCCGGGCUUAACUCGGAGCCUGCAGGCGAAACUGUGGUGCUGGAGUGUGGGAGAGGUGCGUGGAAUUCCCGGUGUAGCGGUGAAAUGCGUAGAUAUCAGGAGGAACACCAGUGGCGAAGGCGGCCGGCUGGGGGUGCCCUGACGCUGAGGCGCGAAAGCGUGGGGAGCGAACCGG